rnacentral:rRNA from 1 species
UUCCGGUUGAUCCUGCCGGAGGUUACUGCUAUCGAGGUUCGACUAAGCCAUGCGAGUCGAAUGUAGCAAUACAUGGCGAACUGCUCAGUAACACGUGGACAACCUGCCCUUAGGUUGGGUAUAAACCCGGGAAACUGGGUAUAAUACCCGAUAGGUCUCGAUUGCUGGAAUGCAUCGAGAUUUAAAGCUCCGGCGCCUAAGGAUGGGUCUGCGGCCUAUCAGGUAGUAGUGGGUGUAGCGUACCUACUAGCCUACGACGGGUACGGGUUGUGAGAGCAAGAGCCCGGAGAUGGAUUCUGAGACACGAAUCCAGGCCCUACGGGGUGCAGCAGGCGCGAAAACUUUACAAUGCUGGCAACAGCGAUAAGGGAACCUCGAGUGCCAGGUUACAAAUCUGGCUGUCGAGAUGCCUAAAAAGCAUUUCAUAGCAAGGGCCGGGCAAGACCGGUGCCAGCCGCCGCGGUAACACCGGCGGCUCGAGUGGUAACCGUUAUUAUUGGGUCUAAAGGGUCUGUAGCCGGCCGGAUAAGUCUCUUGAGAAAUCUGGCAGCUUAACUGUCAGGCUUUCAGGAGAUACUGUCUGGCUCGAGGCCGGGAGAGGUGAGAGGCACUUCAGGGGUAGGGGUGAAAUCUUGUAAUCCUCGAAGGACCACCAGUGGCGAAGGCGUCUCACCAGAACGGACCUGACGGCAAGGGACGAAAGCUAGGGGCACGAACCGGAUUAGAUACCCGGGUAGUCCUAGCCGUAAACGAUACUCGCUAGGUGUCGGCCACGGUGCGACCGUUGUCGGUGCCGUAGGGAAGCCGUGAAGCGAGCCACCUGGGAAGUACGGCCGCAAGGCUGAAACUUAAAGGAAUUGGCGGGGGAGCACCACAACGGGUGGAGCUUGCGGUUUAAUUGGAUUCAACGCCGGA